rnacentral:rRNA from 1 species
AGAGAUGUGUGAUGACGCAUAUCAAUAAGCGGAGGAAAAGAAACUAACAAGGAUUCCCCUAGUAACGGCGAGUGAAGCGGGAAGAGCUCAAAUUUGAAAUCUUCAAGGUUUGACCUUGACGAAUUGUAGUUUAAAGAAGUGUUUUCGGUUAGAGGAGUGGUAAAAGUUCUUUGGAAUAGGACAUCAUAGAGGGUGAGAAUCCCGUAUUUGACCAUUCUUUCUAGCUUUGUGAUACACUUUCAACGAGUCGGAUUGUUUGGGAAUGCAGUCCAAAAUGGGUGGUAAAUUUCAUCUAAAGCUAAAUAUUGGCGAGAGACCGAUAGCGAACAAGUACCGUGAGGGAAAGAUGAAAAGAACUUUGAAAAGAGAGUUAAACAGUACGUGAAAUUGUCAAAAGGGAAGCGUUUGACACCAGUGUUGUUUUUUCUCUGAAAAUCAAUUAAAGAAACUGUUUAUGCUAAGCUGUUUAGACUUUAUCAGCUAUCUGUUUAGUUUUGAGCUUUUCUUUAAUGCACUUUUCAGUUAACAAGUCAACAUCAAUUUCUUUUGCUGUAAAAAAGCUUGAGGAAGGUGGCUUGAGAUUCGUCUUAAGUGUUUAUAGCCUCUUGCCUAUGCAGUCGGAGAGAUUGAGGUCUGCAGCGUAGAUCCUUCGGGGCUAAAUGCAUUUGUGCUAAGUUAUAGCAUUUUAUAGACAACUUGUUGACUACGAUUUGUCUUGUAGCUUACUCGCUUAUGUUAUUUUACCUACGCUUAGGAUGUUGAGUAGCGACAUACGCAC